rfam:Tupaia chinensis contig85655, whole genome shotgun sequence.
AGCUUUGUGCAGUGGCAGUAUCGUAGCCAAUGAGGUUUAUCCGAGGCGCAAUUAUUGCUAAUUGAAAACUUUUCCCAAUAUCAGGGGCUUAGGCUGGCUCUGAAAUGUUUGUUUUCCCAGACCCCAGUGGCCCUGGG